UCGAAUAUACCCCUUGUCCAUGAGGUCUUGGACCUGUCUCUCCAGCUCCUUAGCCUCCUCCGGAUUGACUCGGUAUGCGGCUCGGUUUGGAAGUGGGGCGCCUGGCACAAAGUCUAUCUGAUGUUCGAUGCCUCGGAGGGGUGGUAAGCCGGCUGGUAUCUCUUCAGGGAACACGUCCUUGUACUGGUCCAUUAGUUCUUGCAUCUCAGCUGGACAAUCUGGUGCUUCAAA
rnacentral:lncRNA from 1 species